rnacentral:rRNA from 1 species
CAGCCGCCGCGGGAAUACGUAGGGUGCAAGCGUUAAUCGGAAUUACUGGGCGUAAAGCGUGCGCAGGCGGUUUGUUAAGACAGAUGUGAAAUCCCCGGGCUCAACCUGGGAACUGCAUUUGUGACUGGCAAGCUAGAGUCUGGCAGAGGGGGGUGGAAUUCCGCGUGUAGCAGUGAAAUGCGUAGAUAUGCGGAGGAACACCGAUGGCGAAGGCAGCCCCCUGGGCCAACACUGACGCUCAUGCACGAAAGCGUGGGGAGCAAACAGGAUUAGAUACCCCGGUAGUCCCUGUCUCUUAUAC